AGGGAAACCGAGUCUUAACCGGGCGUUAAGUUGCAGGGUAUAGACCCGAAACCCGGUGAUCUAGCCAUGGGCAGGUUGAAGGUUGGGUAACACUAACUGGAGGACCGAACCGACUAAUGUUGAAAAAUUAGCGGAUGACCUGUGGCUGGGGGUGAAAGGCCAAUCAAACCGGGAGAUAGCUGGUUCUCCCCGAAAGCUAUUUAGGUAGCGCCUCGUGAAUUCAUCUCCGGGGGUAGAGCACUGUUUCGGCUAGGGGGCCAUCCCGGCUUACCAACCCGAUGCAAACUGCGAAUACCGGAGAAUGUUAUCACGGGAGACACACGGCGGGUGCUAACGUCCGUCGUGAAGAGGGAAACAACCCAGACCGCCAGCUAAGGUCCCAAAGUCAUGGUUAAGUGGGAAACGAUGUGGGAAGGCCCAGACAGCCAGGAUGUUGGCUUAGAAGCAGCCAUCAUUUAAAGAAAGCGUAAUAGCUCACUGGUCGAGUCGGCCUGCGCGGAAGAUGUAACGGGGCUAAACCAUGCACCGAAGCUGCGGCAGCGACACUCAGGUGUUGUUGGGUAGGGGAGCGUUCUGUAAGCCUGCGAAGGUGGCCUGUGAGGGUUGCUGGAGGUAUCAGAAGUGCGAAUGCUGACAUAAGUAACGAUAAAGCGGGUGAAAAGCCCGCUCGCCGGAAGACCAAGGGUUCCUGUCCAACGUUAAUCGGGGCAGGGUGAGUCGACCCCUAAGGCGAGGCCGAAAGGCGUAGUCGAUGGGAAACGGGUUAAUAUUCCCGUACUUGGUGUUACUGCGAAGGGGGGACGGAGAAGGCUAUGUUGGCCGGGCGACGGUUGUCCCGGUUUAAGCGUGUAGGUGUGUGUUCCAGGUAAAUCCGGUUCACUUUAACACUGAGGCGUGAUGACGAGGCACUACGGUGCUGAAGCAACAAAUGCCCUGCUUCCAGGAAAAGCCUCUAAGCAUCAGGUAACAUCAAAUCGUACCCCAAACCGACACAGGUGGUCAGGUAGAGAAUACCAAGGCGCUUGAGAGAACUCGGGUGAAGGAACUAGGCAAAAUGGUGCCGUAACUUCGGGAGAAGGCACGCUGACACGUAGGUGAAGUGAUUUACUCAUGGAGCUGAAGUCAGUCGAAGAUACCAGCUGGCUGCAACUGUUUAUUAAAAACACAGCACUGUGCAAACACGAAAGUGGACGUAUACGGUGUGACGCCUGCCCGGUGCCGGAAGGUUAAUUGAUGGGGUCAGCGCAAGCGAAGCUCCUGAUCGAAGCCCCGGUAAACGGCGGCCGUAACUAUAACGGUCCUAAGGUAGCGAAAUUCCUUGUCGGGUAAGUUCCGACCUGCACGAAUGGCGUAAUGAUGGCCAGGCUGUCUCCACCCGAGACUCAGUGAAAUUGAACUCGCUGUGAAGAUGCAGUGUACCCGCGGCAAGACGGAAAGACCCCGUGAACCUUUACUAUAGCUUGACACUGAACAUUGAGCCUUGAUGUGUAGGAUAGGUGGGAGGCUUUGAAGUGUGGACGCCAGUCUGCAUGGAGCCGACCUUGAAAUACCACCCUUUAAUGUUUGAUGUUCUAACGUGGACCCGUAAUCCGGGUUGCGGACAGUGUCUGGUGGGUAGUUUGACUGGGGCGGUCUCCUCCUAAAGAGUAACGGAGGAGCACGAAGGUUGGCUAAUCCUGGUCGGACAUCAGGAGGUUAGUGCAAUGGCAUAAGCCAGCUUGACUGCGAGCGUGACGGCGCGAGCAGGUGCGAAAGCAGGUCAUAGUGAUCCGGUGGUUCUGAAUGGAAGGGCCAUCGCUCAACGGAUAAAAGGUACUCCGGGGAUAACAGGCUGAUACCGCCCAAGAGUUCAUAUCGACGGCGGUGUUUGGCACCUCGAUGUCGGCUCAUCACAUCCUGGGGCUGAAGUAGGUCCCAAGGGUAUGGCUGUUCGCCAUUUAAAGUGGUACGCGAGCUGGGUUUAGAACGUCGUGAGACAGUUCGGUCCCUAUCUGCCGUGGGCGCUGGAGAACUGAGGGGGGCUGCUCCUAGUACGAGAGGACCGGAGUGGACGCAUCACUGGUGUUCGGGUUGUCAUGCCAAUGGCACUGCCCGGUAGCUAAAUGCGGAAGAGAUAAGUGCUGAAAGCAUCUAAGCACGAAACUUGCCCCGAGAUGAGUUCUCCCUGAGACUUAAAGUCUCCUGAAGGAACGUUGAAGACGACGACGUUGAUAGGCCGGGUGUGUAAGCGCAGCGAUGCGUUGAGCUAACCGGUACUAAUGAACCGUGAGGCUUAACCUU
rnacentral:rRNA from 1 species